GUGAGGUAACGGCUCACCAAGGCGACGAUCAGUAGCUGGUCUGAGAGGAUGAUCAGCCUCACUGGGACUGAGACACGGCCCAGACUCCUACGGGAGGCAGCAGUGGGGAAUAUUGGACAAUGGGCGCAAGCCUGAUCCAGCCAUGCCGCGUGGAUGAUGAAGGCCCUAGGGUUGUAAAGUCCUUUCGGCGGGGAAGAUAAUGACGGUACCCGCAGAAGAAGCCCCGGCUAACUUCGUGCCAGCAGCCGCGGUAAUACGAAGGGGGCUAGCGUUGCUCGGAAUCACUGGGCGUAAAGCGCACGUAGGCGGCUUCUUAAGUCAGGGGUGAAAUCCU
rnacentral:rRNA from 1 species